UUUUUAAAAUAGCUUAAAAUUACCUAUACCUAAGUAGAAAAACAAAAAACCCUAUCCCUUUAGUAUCUCCUCUCCUCCUCUCUCCACCAAACUUGGCCGGCAGCCAAAUUCUCCCAAUCCUCACCCUAAAUAGUGUGAAUUUCGCCAGGAACUUCAAUUUGCUCUCUAUUCGAAUAGAUCUGGUCCUAAUUUGCGGUUUCAAUUCGCGAGAUUGAGUCGGCGAUUCUAAUUUGCUCUUUACUCAAAUUCUGAUGAAAAAUUGAAUUUCGCUCAACAUCUUCAAGGAGUCUGAAAUUUUUUCGAGGUAGUUGAUGACUAUUAGAGCACUAAAUCAGCAUAAUUGUUUGGGGCUUAUCAUGGAGACCCGAAUCCUCAAUCUGAUUGUAGCUUGUAACAUCUUUGGCAUACUCUAAUUUUAGCUUGUAACUUCUAAGGCUUUUGCUAGAAUAUUAUGGGUUGUUUAUGGCAAUUUCAGACACAAUAUAUCUUUUAAUUGUAAUGAUAUAUUAUUAUUUAAUGAGAAUUACAAUAUUUGAGGUA